rnacentral:rRNA from 1 species
UAAGGGCGCACGGUGGAUGCCUUGGCACUAGAAGCCGAUGAAGGACGUUACUAACGACGAUAUGCUUUGGGGAGCUGUAAGUAAGCUUUGAUCCAGAGAUUUCCGAAUGGGGAAACCCAGCAUGAGUUAUGUCAUGUUAUCGAUAUGUGAAUACAUAGCAUAUCAGAAGGCACACCCGGAGAACUGAAACAUCUUAGUACCCGGAGGAAGAGAAAGAAAAUUCGAUUCCCUUAGUAGCGGCGAGCGAAACGGGAAGAGCCCAAACCAACAAGCUUGCUUGUUGGGGUUGUAGGACACUCUAUACGGAGUUACAAAGGACGACAUUAGACGAAUCAUCUGGAAAGAUGAAUCAAAGAAGGUAAUAAUCCUGUAGUCGAAAAUGUUGUCUCUCUUGAGUGGAUCCUGAGUACGACGGAGCA